AAGCCAGCCAAUGCGUCUGCUCACCUGCAUGUGUUUCUGCAGAAAUUUUCAAAAGUUGGCAAUAGUAAAGCCAUGUUAUCAGCCUUAAAGAUAUCGAAGUCAUUAAGGUCCCUGGAAAUGGCUCUAAGG